CCCCUUCUCGUUAGAUCACCGAAGUCAGGCAUCAUUGGGCGCGAUCAGUAUUUGAGUGGGUGACCACCUGGGAACACCGCGUGCC